AUGGCGCACCGGGUGGACAACGAGUACGACUACCUCUUCAAGAUCGUGCUCAUCGGCGACUCCGGCGUCGGCAAGUCCAACAUCCUCUCCCGCUUCACCCGCAACGAGUUCUGCCUCGAGUCCAAGUCCACCAUCGGCGUCGAGUUCGCCACCCGCACCCUCCAGGUAGAAGGCAAGACCAUUAAAGCUCAGAUAUGGGAUACUGCUGGCCAAGAGAGGUACCGUGCAAUCACAAGUGCUUACUACAGGGGAGCUGUGGGAGCUCUUUUGGUGUAUGACAUAACAAAGAAGCUAUCAUUUGAAAACAUCAAUAGGUGGCUUAGUGAGCUCCGUAACCAUGCUGACUCCAACAUUGUCAUCAUGAUGGUUGGAAACAAAUCCGACCUUAACCACCUGAGGUCAGUUCAAGAGGAAGAAGGGCAGGCAUUAGCAGAGAAGGAAGGGCUAUCCUUCCUUGAGACCUCGGCACUGGAAGCCUUGAACGUCGAGAAGGCGUUUCAGACUAUCCUUUCCGACAUCCAUCAGAUCAUAAGCAAGAAGGCGCUCGCUGCCCAGGAGGCUGCAGGAAGUGGACCUCCGACUCAAGGAACCACCAUCAAUGUUGCCGAUUCAUCUGGCAACACAAAGAAAGGGUGCUGUUCUACCUAG
rnacentral:rRNA from 1 species